rnacentral:rRNA from 1 species
GAUGAACGCUGGCGGCGUGCCUAAUACAUGCAAGUCGAGCGAACAGACGAGGAGCUUGCUCCUCUGACGUUAGCGGCGGACGGGUGAGUAACACGUGGAUAACCUACCUAUAAGACUGGGAUAACUUCGGGAAACCGGAGCUAAUACCGGAUAAUAUAUUGAACCGCAUGGUUCAAUAGUGAAAGACGGUUUUGCUGUCACUUAUAGAUGGAUCCGCGCCGCAUUAGCUAGUUGGUAAGGUAACGGCUUACCAAGGCAACGAUGCGUAGCCGACCUGAGAGGGUGAUCGGCCACACUGGAACUGAGACACGGUCCAGACUCCUACGGGAGGCAGCAGUAGGGAAUCUUCCGCAAUGGGCGAAAGCUUGACGGAGCAACGCCGCGUGAGUGAUGAAGGUCUUCGGAUCGUUAAACUCUGUUAUUAGGGAAGAACAAAUGUGUAAGUAACUAUGCACGUCUUGACGGUACCUAAUCAGAAAGCCACGGCUAACUACGUG